rnacentral:miRNA from 1 species
GAGAGCUGGGUCUUUGCGGGCAAGAUGAGGGUGUCAGUUCAACUGGCCUACAAAGUCCCAGUUCUC